rnacentral:rRNA from 1 species
GAUGAACGCUGGCGGCGUGCCUAAUACAUGCAAGUCGAGCGAACAGACGAGGAGCUUGCUCCUCUGACGUUAGCGGCGGACGGGUGAAUAACACGUGGAUCACCUACCUAUAUGACUGGUAUAACUUCGGGAAACCGGAGCUAAUACCGGAUAAUAUCUUGCACCGCAUGGGUCAUUGGUAAAAUACGGUUUUGCUGUCACUUAUAGAUGGAUCCGGGCCGCUUUAGCGAGUUGGUAAGGUAACGGCUUACCAAGGCAACGAUGCGUAGCCGACCUGAGAGGCGGAUCGCCCACACUGGAGCUGGGACGGGGACAAGGGUCCUACGGGACGCAGCAGUCGGGAAUGUGCGGCAACAGGCGAGAGCAUGACAGAGCGGGGGGACGUGAGAGACGAAGGUGUUGGGAGCGUGAUGACGUGUUAUUGGUGAAGAACAAAUUUGGAAGGAACUGUGGCCGGAGUGACGGUACCUGGUAAGGAAGCAACGGCUAACUACGUG